rnacentral:rRNA from 1 species
GCUAAUACCGCAUAACGUCGCAAGACCAAAGAGGGGGACCUUCGGGCCUCUUGCCAUCGGAUGUGCCCAGAUGGGAUUAGCUAGUAGGUGGGGUAACGGCUCACCUAGGCGACGAUCCCUAGCUGGUCUGAGAGGAUGACCAGCCACACUGGAACUGAGACACGGUCCAGACUCCUACGGGAGGCAGCAGUGGGGAAUAUUGCACAAUGGGCGCAAGCCUGAUGCAGCCAUGCCGCGUGUAUGAAGAAGGCCUUCGGGUUGUAAAGUACUUUCAGCGGGGAGGAAGGGAGUAAAGUUAAUACCUUUGCUCAUUGACGUUACCCGCAGAAGAAGCACCGGCUAACUCCGUGCCAGCAGCCGCGGUAAUACGGAGGGUGCAAGCGUUAAUCGGAAUUACUGGGCGUAAAGCGCACGCAGGCGGUUUGUUAAGUCAGAUGUGAAAUCCCCGGGCUCAACCUGGGAACUGCAUCUGAUACUGGCAAGCUUGAGUC